rnacentral:tRNA from 1 species
UCCUUAGUGGCUCAGAUGGUAAAGAAUCUGCCUGCAAUGCAGAAGACCCAGGUUCUAUCCCUGGGUCGGGAA